GACGAACGCUGGCGGCGCGCUUAACACAUGCAAGUCGAACGGAAAGGCCUGCUUUCCCUUGUGGAUUGCGGGUACUCGAGUGGCGAACGGGUGAGUAACACGUGAGUGAUCUGCCCCCAACUUGGGUAUAAGCCUGGGAAACUGGGUCUAAUUCCCGAUAGUACUGCAGGGUGGUGCCUGUGGUGGAAAACGAUUUUCUAGUGGUUGGGGAUGAGCUCGCGGCCUAUCAGCUUGUUGGUGGGGUAAUGGCCUACCAAGGCGGCGACGGGUAGCCGGCCUGAGAGGGUGGACGGCCACAUUGGGACUGAGAUACGGCCCAGACUCCUACGGGAGGCAGCAGUGGGGAAUAUUGCACAAUGGGCGGAAGCCUGAUGCAGCGACGCCGCGUGGGGGAUGACGGCCUUCGGGUUGUAAACUCCUUUCGACCGCGAGGAAGCCACCUGGUUGGAAGGGUGGUGACGGUAGUGGCAGAAGAAGCACCGGCUAACUACGUG
rnacentral:rRNA from 1 species